GAUGAACGCUAGCUCCAGGCUUAACACAUGCAAGUCGAGGGACCGGCGCACGGGAGAGUAACACGUAUCCAACCUGCCCUUUACUCGGGGAUAGCCUUUCGAAAGACAGAUUAAUACCCGAUCUAAAGGCUGGGGAUGCGUUCAAUUAGGUUGUGGGUGAGGUAACGGCACACCACGACUUCGAUGUAUAGGGGUUCUGAGAGGAAGGGCCCACACGUUGGAACUGAAACACGUGCCAAACUCCGAAAGGAUGUAGCAGUUAUGAAUAGUGGUCAAUGGGCGCAAGCCUGAACCAUCCAAGUAGCGUGAAGGAUGAAGGCUUAUGGGUCGUAAACUUCGUUUAUAUAAGAAUAUGUAUUAUAUGAAUGAGGAUGGGCUAACUCCGUGCCAGCAGCCGCAGUAAUAC
rnacentral:rRNA from 1 species